rnacentral:rRNA from 1 species
AGAGUUUGAUCCUGGCUCAGGAUGAACGCUGGCGGCGUGCUUAACACAUGCAAGUCGAACGAUCCUUCGGGAUAGUGGCGGACGGGUGAGUAACGCGUGGGAAUCUGCCCUCAGGAGGGGGAUAACGGCUGGAAACGGCCGCUAAUACCCCAUAUGCCGAGAGGUGAAAUGAAUUUCGCCUGAGGAUGAGCCCGCGUCUGAUUAGCUAGUUGGUGGGGUAAUGGCCUACCAAGGCAACGAUCAGUAGCUGGUCUGAGAGGAUGAUCAGCCACACUGGGACUGAGACACGGCCCAGACUCCUACGGGAGGCAGCAGUGGGGAAUUUUCCGCAAUGGGCAAAAGCCUGACGGAGCAACGCCGCGUGAGGGAUGAAGGCCUCUGGGCUGUAAACCUCUUUUCUCAAGGAAGAAGACCUGACGGUACUUGAGGAAUAAGCCACGGCUAAUUCCGUGCCAGCAGCCGCGGUAAUACGGGAGUGGCAAGCGUUAUCCGGGAUUAUUGGGCGUAAAGCGUCCGCAGGCGGCCUUGUAAGUCUGUUGUUAAAGCGUGGAGCUCAACUCCAUUUAAGCAAUGGAAACUACAAGGCUGGAGUGUGGUAGGGGCAGAGGGAAUUCCCGGUGUAGCGGUGAAAUGCGUAGAUAUCGGGAAGAACACCAGUGGCGAAGGCGCUCUGCUGGGCCAUAACUGACGCUCAUGGACGAAAGCCAGGGGAGCGAAAGGGAUUAGAUACCCCUGUAGUCCUGGCCGUAAACGAUGAACACUAGGUGUCGGGGGAAUCGACCCCCUCGGUGUCGUAGCCAACGCGUUAAGUGUUCCGCCUGGGGAGUACGCACGCAAGUGUGAAACUCAAAGGAAUUGACGGGGGCCCGCACAAGCGGUGGAGUAUGUGGUUUAAUUCGAUGCAACGCGAAGAACCUUACCAGGGUUUGACAUCCUGCGAACCCCUGAGAAAUCGGGGGGUGCCUUCGGGAGCGCAGAGACAGGUGGUGCAUGGCUGUCGUCAGCUCGUGUCGUGAGAUGUUGGGUUAAGUCCCGCAACGAGCGCAACCCACGUCUUUAGUUGCCAGCAUUCAGUUGGGCACUCUAGAGAGACCGCCGGUGAUAAACCGGAGGAAGGUGUGGAUGACGUCAAGUCAUCAUGCCCCUUACAUCCUGGGCUACACACGUACUACAAUGCUACGGACAAAGGGCAGCAAGCUCGCGAGAGUUAGCAAAUCCCAUAAACCGUGGCUCAGUUCAGAUCGUAGGCUGCAACUCGCCUACGUGAAGGAGGAAUCGCUAGUAAUCGCAGGUCAGCAUACUGCGGUGAAUACGUUCCCGGGCCUUGUACACACCGCCCGUCACACCAU